CAUUGUAGCAAUACAAGGCAGACGGCUCAGUAACACGUAGUCAACCUACCCUAUGGACGGGGAUAACCUCGGGAAACUGAGUAUAAUSCCCGAUAGAACAUUAUGCCUGGAAYGGUUUAUGGUCCAAAUGAUUUAUCGCCGUAGGAUGGGACUGCGGCCUAUCAKUUUGUUGGUGAGGUAAUGGCCCACCAAGDCUAUUACAGGUACGGGCUCUGAGAGGAGARGCCCGGAGAUGGGUACUGAGACACGGACCCAGGCCCUAUGGGGCGCAGCAGGCGAGAAAMCUUUGCAAUGUGCGAAAGCACGACAAGGUUAAUCCGAGUGUUUYCUGCUAAAGGAAYCUUUUGUYAGUCCUAAAAACACUAUCGAAUAAGGGGUGGGCAAGUUCUGGUGUCAGCCGCCGCGGUAACACCAGC
rnacentral:rRNA from 1 species